AUAUAUAAAACAUAGUCUUUAUGAAGCCCCACACAUGAAGUGCUUUCAGAAUGAUUCCAAAUUCAGGCUAGUAUGGUGGAAGUUCCUUCCCACCAAAUCACAGUCUAAAACCUCCUCUCUAUGAAAAUUCUGGAGCAACCAUCGGUCAUGGAAAUAUUUUUAUUCCCCUUCCCUUCAUAGACAUACUUGAAAGUAGUCAAUUAAUGUACAAUAAGUGCUAUUCGAAUCUGGAACAGAUACUUCUUAUCUGUGUUCAUGAUUGCCUUUCCAAGGUUUGUGGAUCCCCAGUCUCUGAUUUUGUAUGUUUGUUCAUUUGUCCUGAGAAAGUAUCCAUAUCCUGCACAGACUUCUAAAAGAGGUCCCUGACCCAGAGGAAGAUAGAAAGUUCUACUCUGUGACCUAAAAUUGACAAAAUCAUGAAACUAAACCACAUAAAAUAUUUGUAACGAUUACAUUUUUAAAAAUUUAACACCAAAAAUAGAAUUAAAAUUUUCAUUUAUCAUAAUCUCUAGCUAGUGCUCUAAGUUACUGGCAGGCAUCCUCACAAAAAUCACAACGUGUCUUCAACGAAUCACGUUCCUCAGACCCAGUCCUGAAAUAGAAAUUAGUCGUGCAAAUUCCAAAGAACACACAAUUUAGAGACAAUUUCUGGAAUCUAACGCAGUAUCUACUCAGUUUAUUUCGUUGUCUUUGACUCACUUGGAGUGUGAAAUGUCAGAGGACUGUAUACAUAAGUUAACCGCGUAUGUGUCAUACAAAAUCCAACACAAGGACAAUAAAUCCUUCCUUACCAAAGUGGUGUCCAAAUGUUAAUGAUACAUCAUGUUAGGUCUCAGUUGUCUUUCCACUUAAAAAAAUGUUCCCUCCCAAUUUUGAGAUUAAAUUAUGAGUUGGUUGGUGCCAUUUUAGCAAAUCUUACCUGUCAAUGUGUGAGCAAAGUGGGAUGAGAACUUACUAUCUUUUCUAAAAACAUUUGCAUAUAUAUGCAGAGCAAUUCAGCCCAAAUUCUACCUUUGGAAAUAAGUGCACAAAUCCAGUGAAGCGAAAAGAGCCAUGUGCUUGUUUAUGGGAAGGAGUGGUUUGGAAAGAAUGGUAAUAGCAGCUACAAGUUAAAUUGAAAACUUAGUGGACCAUUGAUAAUGCUAAGACCUGGUUGCUCUUCAGCCCUUCAACAGCUGAGAAAGGGUAGAAUUGUGGACACCAGUGCCUUUCCUGAGAAGCAGACAUACUUAGUUCUUACCUCCUUAUCAUCUGACAACCUAUUGAUUUUUAUUUACUUAUUCUGUUUUCUUGGUUGAUAGCAUAGUUCUUUCAAUGACUUUAUACAAAAUUCUGGAGUUGUUGUAACUUCUCAGUUUAGUGGCUGAUUUUUCCCCAACCCCGUUAAGUGAGGGGAUGUCGCUAAUUACACCCCAAAAGUAAAAUCCCAUAUGAUAUGUGCUCCUCUCUACCUAUCUCAUAUUAUUCUAUGGGAUAGACUUUGCUGUAUGUCACCCUUGUGACAACAGUGACAACAGUGGCAUUGCCACCAUCAUUUAAAUAACAGAACCAAAAGUCUACGCAGAGUCUUAUUUCAUUUUUUUUAAGGGUAUUUAUUUUUGAGACAGAGAGAGACAGAGCAUGAACAGGGGAGGGUCAGAGAGAGAGGGAGACACAGAAUCAGAAGCAGGCUCCAGGCUCUGAGCUGUCAGCACAGAGCCUGACGCGGGGCUCGAACCCAUGAACCGUGAGAUCAUGACCUGAGCCGAAGUCGAAUGCUCACCUGACUGAGCCACCCAGGCACCCCAGUGCAGAGUUGAUUGUUACUCAUUUUUCAUGAAAUUACUCUUUUCUUAGUAGAGUCGUCCUGGAAAUGUUUCUGCAUAUAUUUAUCUGCUGCAUAACAAAGCUUAAAUCCAAUGAGCUUUCCAAUCUAGAAUUUUAGUUUAAUUUUAAGAAAGAGAUACAGUAAAUAUGUGCUGUGUUGAAAGAUUUUUUAAAUUUCAUUUAAGGAAAAAAAAAAAAAAAAAACCUCCAUAAAAUGAAAAGGACUUUGUUCUUAGAAUCUCUACUAUACUUGUUUGGGGGAAAAUGUAGUUGCCAGCCAUGAAAACUCUUUUACUAAAAACAGAAGUAUAAUCCGUAUUUUUUUAAUGGCCCACUUAGCAGGAUGCCAGUGUACUCAAGUGACAUCUUUUUAAUGAAGCCUAAGGGGAAAAGCUCACCUUGUCUCUGCAGAUAUGUGUGUGAGACAGCAGUCUCUGCAGACCACAGAGAGUUCUAUUAACCUCCUGCAGAUCCUAUCUGAGGGGGUGGGCCCGCUAAUCCGUGCGUUACUCAUACUUCUCAGCCUGACCCCUUCCCCUCAGAUGAGACAGAAUCUUGGUGGAAGCCGAGUGCAUCAGACCCCCUCCAGCCUGUGGCUAGAGGACAGAACCAAGUGGACCAAAGCAAACCACAGCAUCAGGAGCAAUGAGUGUUUUUCUGAUGUCCUUAAUAAUAACUCCUGAAGUCCACCAUUUCCCCAUUUCUGUUGUUUUUGGACCCAAAAUAGAAUGUAUAUUUUGGUUUGCAUAAAACAAUUCUUGUAGACAUUAGAUUAUAAAAUAAUGUAACAUUGUAAAAUAA